UUGAAAUAUUAUAAUUACCUCAUUUCAGACAAAAGUACAAGCGAACAGAUGACACAUUAAAGUGGCUGCAGAAGCUUGAAAAGUUAGAUAGAGCAGAGGCAGUCAAAACUGUGGGAUAAUACUUCUAUGGUGUCCAACAUGUCUAGUCAGGUUGACAGAAGUGAAAGAUGGUCUGAUGGUACAAUGAUGUACAAAUGAUACUCUUUAACAAGUUUAACAUGUCAAGGUGUAAAAUGUUCUGUGGAUUCAUAUGAUGAGAAUGCCAAUGUUGAUCUGUAUGACUUAAUUAAA
rnacentral:lncRNA from 1 species